AAGACCACUCCCCAUCUCUACCCCAGCUGGAUUAACCCCUCCAUGAUAAUUCCUGGCUGCCUUGUCUCCCUGUAAAUAUAGAAACAGAGGCUUCUCAGCUGCUCCUUUCCACAACCUGAGCCCUCUUCUACUAUCCACAGCAUUUCAGGCUUCUCCUUAUGCAAAGCUGGCCAGCUAAAGAUGUCAGCAGCCGUUCAUGGUAGCCCUACCUCACACACAUCCCCAGCCAAUAAGGGGGGCUUGUGAGCUAACGUAUCACUAUAACACUAGGACUUGUUCUGAGCGCAUACAUUGCAGGUCUUACAGACUAGCUGCAUCACCAGGGACGCCUACACCCAUCUCCCUCUCUGAGGUGCAUAGUAUCUUGCCACCAUGUCUGACACUGAGGACCAGGAUCAGAUGGAGGGUAAGUGUAAAAUAUACAAUUUAUAGAAAUUAGUUUAAUUUCUAGCUAUUUAGUUAUAAUAAUUUCAUUAUUAUAUAAGACAGGGCUACUAGGGCUUCAUUUGUAUAUAACCACCAAAGUGUCAGUCCUACAGACUCUAUGGGGAGGAGUCAUCGUUCCUAUUAUAUCUCUGUGGGAUUGACGCUGCAAAGCUCUCUAUUUUUACAGUACUUCUUCAUAGGCCUAAACUGUGUGGACCACACCACACUGGCACCAAUGUAAACUAUAGAGAAGCGCAUUGAAAACUGCAAUCAAUAAGAUAAAAUAGACUAUUGACACAAAACUGAGAGAAUAAAAUAUUAACACAUUCAGUGUUUAUUUAAUUGAAUAAAUAUAUUUUAUGAUGCCCUACCAAUGAAAUGAAGCACAGAUCUGGUUCAAGCUUAAACAAUGUCUCCCCUAUGUGGUGAGAUAGAUGAAUAUGCUGUUACAGUGGGGUUAAUAGAUUACAAAAGUGAAAUGCAACAUUUUAUCUACAAGUGAAUGAAGUUCGGUCAAUCGGAAUAACAGGCAGUGGCUUUAGAUAUCGAUAUCUAAAAGAUAUCGAUAUCUAAAUAUUGAUGAUGAUAACAGCAUCUCAUUCAUGUUUGAAUAAGCAUUUCCAACAUAAUGUGAUGUUCAUGUUUUCUUCCACCACCCAUUUGUUUCUCAAAACAAAAGAAGAGGAAGGUAAACCGUAUUGAUCCAUAUUGCUAUAUUUAUUAUUUUACUAAUUUUUCAUCAAUGCCAAGCCAGCAAAAUAAUAUGGCAUGUGUUUGAUCCUACAAGCCUUGACAUUUCAGCUAUUUUUUAUUUAUGCUUAUCAAUCUGCUGUAGUCUUUGUAUGAUAUGAAAGUAUGAUAUGCCAUCUAUAACAAAACCACCCCUUCUGCAUUGUAGUCUGUAAUAAGAUCACAUAUAUAGUAGAUAAUUACGAUUAACUAUAUAUAUGUAUAAACAUAUUUUAAGAAAAAAUCCUGUAUGUGCUUUCAUGCUUAAUAAAUCUAUAUCUGAGAAAACUUUUUAAUUCUGGUAUUUAUUAAUUCAUUAUAGCUCACAUACUGAACUUGCAUCCUUAAUUCCCUCCCAAAAACAUCUACACUUUGGGUUUUCGUGAUCAUAUAUAAUUGCCUCAUGUGUUUUCCUUGAUCUUUUAAUUUAACGUCUGCAUGGUUUGUUUCUUCAACACUAGUAUCUCCAGUCAAGGAAAUGAGCCCGUUUUCACAUCCUGUCAAUGAGAUCUCAUUGACUCUCCUCCAUCCAUCGCCAUGUACUUCAUGAUCUGCGUCUCUCUUCUGUCCAUCCAUCUGU